AUUGAACGCUGGCGGCAGGCUUAACACAUGCAAGUCGAGCGGGGUGAUGGUGCUUGCACUAUCACUUAGCGGCGGACGGGUGAGUAAUGCUUAGGAAUCUGCCUAUUAGUGGGGGACAACAUCUCGAAAGGGAUGCUAAUACCGCAUACGUCCUACGGGAGAAAGCAGGGGAUCACUUGUGACCUUGCGCUAAUAGAUGAGCCUAAGUCGGAUUAGCUAGUUGGUGGGGUAAAGGCCUACCAAGGCGACGAUCUGUAGCGGGUCUGAGAGGAUGAACCGCCACACUGGGACUGAGACACGGCCCAGACUCCGACGGGAGGCAGCAGUGGGGAAUAUUGGACAAUGGGGGGAACCCUGAUCCAGCCAUGCCGCGUGUGUGAAGAAGGCCUUAUGGUUGUAAAGCACUUUAAGCGAGGAGGAGGCUCUUUUGGUUAAUACCCAAGAUGAGUGGACGUUACUCGCAGAAUAAGCACCGGCUAACUCUGUGCCAGCCGCCGCAGUAA
rnacentral:rRNA from 1 species